AACGAACGCUAUCGGUAUGCUUAACACAUGCAAGUCGGACGGACUAAUUAGGGCUUGCUCCAGGUAGUUAGUGGCAGACGGGUGAGUAACACGUGGGAAUCUGCCCAUCAGUACGGAAUAACUUUUAGAAAUAAAAGCGAAUACCGGAUAUUCUCUACAGAGGAAAGAUUUAUCGCGGAUGGAUGAGCCCGAGUCAGAUUAGUUAGUUCGUGAGGUAACGGCUCACGAAGCCGACGAUCGGUAGCUGGUCUGAGAGGAUGAUCAGCCACACUGGGACUGAGACACAGCCCAGAAUCCUACGGGAGGCAGCAGUGGGGAAUAUUGGACAAUGGGCGAAAGCAUGAUCCAGCAAUGCCGGGUGAGUGAUAAAGGCCCUAGGGUUGUAAAGCUCUUUUAGCAAGGAAGAUUAUGACGUUACUUGCAGAAAAAGCCCCGGCUAACUCCGUG
rnacentral:rRNA from 1 species